rnacentral:rRNA from 2 species
UACGUAGGUGGCGAGCGUUGUCCGGAAUUACUGGGUGUAAAGGGCGUGUAGGCGGGAUUGCAAGUCAGAUGUGAAAUUCCGGGGCUUAACCUCGGCGCUGCAUCUGAAACUGUAAUUCUUGAGUGCUGGAGAGGAUAGUGGUAUUCCUAGUGUAGCGGUGAAAUGCGUAGAUAUUAGGAGGAACACCAGUGGCGAAGGCGACUAUCUGGACAGUAACUGACGCUGAGGCGCGAAAGCGUGGGGAGCAAACAGG